AUACCCGUUUAUCCUGCGGGAGGCCACUGCUAUCGGAGUCCGACUAAGCCAUGCAAGUCGGCUGUCUAGCUUCGGCUGGAUGGCGGCGAACUGCUCAGUAACACGUCGCUAACCUACCCUAGGGUCUAGGAUAACCUCGGGAAACUGAGGCUAAUCCUAGAUAGGAAAAGGGUUCUGCAAUGACCCUCUUCUGAAAGCAGCUUUGCUGUGCCCUAGGAUGGGGCGGCGGCCCAUCAGGUUGUUGGUGGGGUAACGGCCCACCAAGCCUAAGACGGGUACGGGUCCUGAGAGGGAUAGCCCGGAGAAGGGACCUGAGACACUGUCCCUAGCCCUACGGGGUGCAGCAGGCGCGAAACCUCUCCAAUGCGCGAAAGCGUGAGAGGGGGACUCCGAGUGCCUUGCUUCGGCAAGGCUUUUGUCGAGGGUAAAAACCUCGGCGAAUAAGGGGUGGGCAAGACCGGUGCCAGCAGCCGCGGUAACCCCGGCGCCCCAAGUGGUGGCCGCUUUUAUUGGGCCUAAAGCGUUCGUAGCCGGUUCAGUAAGUUCCUUCCGAAAUCGUCGCGCUUAACGUGACGGCGCGGAGGGAAUACUGCUGAACUUGGGACCGGUAGGGGCCGGAGGUAUUCCCGGGGAAGCGGUAAAAUGCUUAGAUCCUGGGAGGACCACCGGUGGCGAAGGCGUCCGGCCAGAACGGCUCCGACGGUGAGGAACGAAAGCUGGGGGAUCAAAACGGAUUAGAUACCCGUGUAGUCCCAGCUGUAAACGCUGCGGGCUAGGUGUUGCGCAUUCUUCGAGAAUGCGCAGUGUCGUAGGGAAGCCGUUAAGCCCGCCGCCUGGGGAGUACGGUCGCAAGGCUGAAACUUAAAGGAAUUGGCGGGGGAGCGCUACAAGGGGUGCGGCGUGCGGUUUAAUCUAACUCAACACAGAGAAUCUCACCAGGAGCGACAGCAGAAUGAAGGUCAGGCUAAAGGUCUUACCAGACACGCUGAGAGGUGGUGCAUGGCCGCCGUCAGCUCGUGCUGUAGGGUGUCCUGUUAAGUCAGGCAACGAGCGAGACCCGCGUCCCUAGUUGCUACUUUUCUUUACGGAGAAAAGGCACACUAGGGAGACUGCCUGCGAAAGCAGGAGGAAGGUGCGGGCGACGGUAGGUCUGUAUGCCCCGAAUCUCCUGGGCUACACGCGCGCAACAAUGGCGGGAACAAUGGGAUGCGACUCCGAGAGGAGAAGCUAAUCCUCGAAAUUCCGUCUUAGUCCAGAUCGAGGGCUGGAACUCGCCCUCGUGACGAUGGAAUCCCUAGUAAUCAGAGGUUAGCAGCCUCUGGUGAAUAUGUCCCCGCUCCUUGCACACACUGCCCGUCAAGCCAUCCGAGCUGGGUUUAGGUGAGGUUUCCUCUAUAGAGGAAUUCGAACCUAGGCUUGGUGAGGCGGGCUAAGUCGACACAAGGUAUCCGUAGGGGAACCUGCGGAUGGAUCACCUCCU
rnacentral:rRNA from 1 species